GAUGAACGCUGGCGGCGUGCCUAAUACAUGCAAGUCGAGCGAACGGACGAGAAGCUUGCUUCUCUGAUGUUAGCGGCGGACGGGUGAGUAACACGUGGAUAACCUACCUAUAAGACUGGGGUAACUUCGGGAAACCGGAGCUAAUACCGGAUGAUAUUUUGAACCGCAUGGUUCAAAAGUGAAAGACGGUCUUGCUGUCACUUAUAGAUGGAUCCGCGCUGCAUUAGCUAGUUGGUAAGGUAACGGCUUACCAAGGCAACGAUGCAUAGCCGACCUGAGAGGGUGAUCGGCCACACUGGAACUGAGACACGGUCCAGACUCCUACGGGAGGCAGCAGUAGGGAGUCUUCCGCAAUAGGCGAAAGCCUGACGGAGCAACGCCGCGUGAGUGAUGAAGGUCUUCGGAUCGUAAAACUCUGUUAUUAGGGAAGAACAUAUGUGUAAGUAACUGUGCACAUCUUGACGGUACCUAAUCAGAAAGCCACGGCUAACUACGUG
rnacentral:rRNA from 1 species